UACGGAGGGUGCAAGCGUUGUCCGGAAUCACUGGGCGUAAAGGGCGCGUAGGCGGCCUGGUAAGUCGGGGGUGAAAUCCUGCGGCUUAACCGCAGGGCUGCCUUCUAAACUGUCAGGCUUGAGCACGGUAGAGGCAGAUGGAAUUCCCGGUGUAGCGGUGGAAUGCGUAGAGAUCGGGAAGAACAUCAGUGGCGAAGGCGGUCUGCUGGGCCGUUGCUGACGCUGAGGCGCGACAGCGUGGGGAGCAAACAGG
rnacentral:rRNA from 1 species